GUCCACGCCCUAAACUAUGUCAACUGGGUGUUGGGGAAGCGAUUCCUCAGUACCGCAGCUAACGCGUGAAGUUGACCGCCUGGGGAGUACGGCCGCAAGGUUAAAACUCAAAGGAAUUGACGGGGACCCGCACAAGCGGUGGAUGAUGUGGAUUAAUUCGAUGCAACGCGAACAACCUUACCUACCCUUGACAUGUCGCGAAGCCCGCUGAGAGGCGGGGGUGCCCGAAAGGGAACGCGAACACAGGUGCUGCAUGGCUGUCGU
rnacentral:rRNA from 1 species